GCCUGUUAAUGCUUACAGCCACUGAAGGAUGGGUCUACCAUUGAGUGAAGGGGAUCUGGGCAGGGCACCAGGAGCAACUGAUACACCAGUGCAUUCUGUGAUCUACGAUGACCAACACAAACCACAGUCAUAAGGAAAUCAAUGCUCUGUUUUAGGUGUCUAAAACUGAAAUCACCUUACAACAUCUGUUCUGGAGGGAGACCACUCUGAGGAUUUGUGGGCGUUUUCAUCAUGUCAUUUGGGAAACUCAGUGGGCCCCACAUUGAAAUCCUCAAGUGAAAGAACAAAAACGUCAAGCUGACUAGACUUGAAAAGAAUGAAAGUUGGGAUCACAAUGAAAUAAGAGGAUAAGAUUCAACAUUGUUCUUUAGUGUUUGCCAUCAUUAGGAGCCAUGGAAGCCAAGUGAACGAGCUACAAAGGAAGAGGUCAAGUUUGCAAUCCUAACCUGGGUUUGUUUGUUGUGUGGUUAUUGUUCUCACUACAAAAAAAAUUGUGUUUUGUGCUUCUGACCAUGUCAGAUGUAGGUUUUCCCGGGAAUAAUUGUCAUCCUUUCCGCAAGCCGCAGCAAUUCCAAGUUCAGCUUGCUACCCAGCAUUUGGAUAGCACAACCUAAAUGUGGGCUCUUUGUUCACUCAAUGGACCUCAUCCCAAGCAUUCUGUUUUUAUAGUAUCAAAGGAGUUUAAUCUCAAUUUUAGGGUGGUAUCAGUGUUAUGGCAUCUUGAGCGAACCAAACAUGUGUCUUAAGUGCAAGCCAUUGAAAAGAAAUGAAUGUCCAAAGAAAACACAAAUCAUAGCUAGCUUAUGACAAUACUGUGCAACUUUUAUCUGUGAAACAUGGAAUAAGCUAAAGACUUUCUCAGAACUAAAAGCCAUCUGGAUAUCAAAUCCAGAGUAGGCUAAGCAUUUCCUUUCCAUAUAGAUUAUGAAAUUCUCUGUUGGACUUAUGUUCCCUCUACUUUUGUCACUUCUAGUCAUUAUCAGUGGUAUUAACUGGUGACCAUUCAUUUGAAUUGAAAUCCAAGACUUUGGCCAAUGAUUAAAAGUCUACAACUGGUCCUGAAGUAGAAACUGACAAACUAGACAUGAGAGUUAUUUCACCAGCCAAGAGUGUGUGGAAACUUCAUCAUUUCUGAACAGAUCUGCACAUAGAAAAAAAAAAUGGAGCAAUGGUAGAAAUAACAAUUUGGGAACCAAGGUCCUUCCUUUUUAAUUAUACUUCUGCUACAUAAUUCAUACAGUCUUGUGCAGGUC
rnacentral:lncRNA from 1 species